GGGGGGGGGGGCUGGGGCUGUCAGAGUGCAGGGCCGGUUCAGCGGAGUGCUUUGAGAGGGAGGAGUGUUGUGUGGAGUCAGCGGUGGAGCAAUAAGAUUGUUUUCUUUUGGCCUGGAAAAGAAUGUUUGGGUCACUUUCAAAGGAUUAUCCUGCAGGGUCAUGUGGUUUAAUGCACGCUUUAAUCUCGCUUCAUUUCACCUUGUUGGAAGAAAAGUGGAUGAAGGCGUCAGUUUGAGCAAAGCCUGAUCCGUGCAGUCGGUGUCCCCAGUUUGUUUGCACACGGACUCUCAUGACUGACAGCAGAGUGGACUUUCACAUAGUUCACAGACGAUUACAAAAUCACAUAAUGGUGACACGAUGAAGAAAGAGGGGAAAAAAUUAAAUAUGAGGCCUUUUUUAUUUUGAUUUUGAUCUCACAGAGUCCAGAGGAAUGAUCCUUAAUCAGCCAGCCAAGCAAAAAAUAAAACAACAACAACAAACAAAGAUGAAGUGGAAGCAAAAAAUUAUAAUGAUAAAGUCCAAAAACAGGCUGGACAUGAAAACAGCCAACGCCAACCAGGAAACCACAAGAACACCAAGAACAGGAAGACCUCACACAAAGAAAAAGGAAAGAAGGAAACCUGCAGCGAGCAGCAACGCGACACAGCGUGAGGGGAGCAGGCGGGAAAUCAGCCGAUGCUGAGGGACAGCGACACUCAAACGCUACAAAAACCAUCACGUCCUUGGCUGAGGUGAGUGGGAAUCAAUGAAGAAACCCAAAAACCAUCGAGAUUCACUGCUUAAAGGUGCAGUAGGCACCAAGUUUAAGUGACUUCCAUCAGACAGGCACUGGGACCAGGACCGGGACCAGGACCGGGACCAGGACCUUUAAACAGCUUUGUAAAAAGAGAGUGUCUGGGGAUUUUGCAGCUGGAGUCGGUGUUUUUCCUGUGUCUGCCCUCGUGGGUGGAGUCCCUGGUGUCUCACCUGAGUUCCAUCCACGGUUAAUCAGCAGAAGGUUCUUGAGGCCAGCGCUGUCCUCCACUCGCCACCAGUUUGUCAGCUACGUUCUGUUAGUGGUCAAUCUACAGACGCAUCCACUGCUGAAGCUUCUAUCGGACGCUGGUCAUACCUGGAAAGUUCAUCUGUAACCUUGGAAAAACAACUACUCACCACACUUACCUGCCUGGCCUCCUGCUCAUCGUUCUCCUCCUGGACUCCCUUGGAGCUGGAUCGGAUCUCUUGCUACUCCCACUGCUCUCACCUUGCCCGGACACUCGAGCCUGCAUCCGAGUCCUGAUUGGAUAAGGCAUAGACAGGAAGGGAAAAGUGAUGACUAUUAGUACAAAUGGAAGAAGGUGAUGGACUUGGAUAAGUUUAGCUUCUUCCUACUCCUUUUUGAAUAUGUUACCAUAUUAAUUAUGACUAUUCUCUUCUCCUUAUGUUUUGUUUUGAUAAUGUUUUUCUUUCAUUUUCUUUGCUGUAUUAUUUUAAAAGAAAAUAAAGCCGUACAAUUCCAGC
ensembl:lncRNA